rnacentral:hammerhead_ribozyme from 1 species
CGGCGAAACCUCCGAAGGGAGGUCGUCGCGGGGUGGCGCCCGCGGCCUGACGAGCCAGCCACCA